UACGGGGGGGGCAAGCGUUGUUCGGAAUUACUGGGCGUAAAGGGCGCGUAGGCGGCCUGCUAAGUCGGACGUGAAAUCCCUCGGCUCAACCGAGGAACUGCGUCCGAUACUGGUGGGCUUGAAUCCGGGAGAGGGAUGUGGAAUUCCAGGUGUAGCGGUGAAAUGCGCAGAUAUCAGGAGGAACACCAGUGGCGAAGGCGGUGAUCUGGGCCGACACUGACGCUGUAGAGCGAAAGCGUGGGGAGCGAACAGG
rnacentral:rRNA from 1 species